rnacentral:rRNA from 1 species
UACGAAGGGGGCUAGCGUUGUUCGGAAUCACUGGGCGUAAAGGGCGCGUAGGCGGCCGAUCAAGUCGGGGAUGGAAGCCUGUGGCUCAACCACAGAAUUGCCUUCGAUACUGUUUGGCUUGAGACCGGAAGAGGUUAGUGGAACUGCGAGUGUAGAGGUGAAAUUCGUAGAUAUUCGCAAGAACACCAGUGGCGAAGGCGGCUGACUGGUCCGGUUCUGACGCUGAGGCGCGAAAGCGUGGGGAGCAAACAGG